ACGGAAGGCAGCAGUGGGGAAUAUUGCACAAUGGGGGAAACCCUGAUGCAGCGACGCCGCGUGAGUGAAGAAGUAUUUCGGUAUGUAAAGCUCUAUCAGCAGGAAAGAAAAUGACGGUACCUGACUAAGAAGCCCCGGCUAACUACGUGCCAGCAGCCGCGGUAAUACGUAGGGGGCAAGCGUCAUCCGGAUUUACUGGGUGUAAAGGGAGCGUAGACGGCUUUGCAAGUCUGAAGUGAAAGCCCGGGGCUCAACCCCGGAACUGCUUUGGAAACUGUAGAGCUAGAGUGCAGGAGAGGUAAGUGGAAUUCCUAGUGUAGCGGUGAAAUGCGUAGAUAUUAGGAGGAACACCAGUGGCGAAGGCGGCUUACUGGACUGUAACUGACGUUGAGGCUCGAAGGCGUGGGGAGCAAACAGGAUUAGAUACCCUGGUA
rnacentral:rRNA from 1 species